AUUGAACGCUGGCGGCAGGCCUAACACAUGCAAGUCGAACGCGUGGCGGACGGGUGAGUAAUGUCUGGGAAACUGCCUGAUGGAGGGGGAUAACUACUGGAAACGGUAGCUAAUACCGCAUACCAUCGGAUGUGCCCAGAUGGGAUUAGCUAGUAGGUGGGGUAAAGGCUCACCUAGGCGACGAUCCCUAGCUGGUCUGAGAGGAUGACGAGCCAUACAGGAAAUGAGACACGGUGAAGAAGCCUACGGGAGGCAGCAGUGGGGAAUAGGGGACAAGGGGCGCAAGCCUGAUGCAGCCAUGCCGCGUGUAUGAAGAAUGCCUUCAGGUUGUAAAGUACUUUCAGCGGGGAGGCGUUACCCUCAGAAGAAGCACCUGCUAACUCCGUGCCAGCAGCCGCUGUAAUAC
rnacentral:rRNA from 1 species